UCAAACUUGGUCAUUUAGAGGAAGUAAAAGUCGUAACAAGGUUUCCGUAGGUGAACCUGCGGAAGGAUCAUUAAUGAGUAAACUUGGUUUAGACUGUUGCUGGCCUGUCUUUGAGGGGCAUGUGCACGCCUAUUCCAGCUUUCAUAACCACCUGUGCACCUUGUGUAGAUUUGAAUGAACUCUCGAGAUUUCAACUCGGUUUAAAGGAUUGCCGUGUGUAAUGCCAGCUUUCUUUUAAUCUUUUAAAUCUAUGUUUUAUUAUACCCCAAAUUAAAGUAUUUGAAUGCAAUCACCAAGGCACCUUGCCUGUAAACAUAUAUACAACUUUCAACAACGGAUCUCUUGGCUCUCGCAUCGAUGAAGAACGCAGC
rnacentral:misc_RNA from 1 species